AACGAACGCUGGCGGCAUGCCUAACACAUGCAAGUCGAACGAGACCUUCGGGUCUAGUGGCGCACGGGUGCGUAACGCGUGGGAACCUGCCCUUAGGUUCGGAAUAACUCCCCGAAAGGGGUGCUAAUACCGGAUAAUGUCUUCGGACCAAAGAUUUAUCGCCUUUGGAUGGGCCCGCGUUGGAUUAGCUAGUUGGUAGGGUAAAAGCCUACCAAGGCGAGGAUCCAUAGCUGGUCUGAGAGGAUGAUCAGCCACACUGGGACUGAGACAUGGCCCAGACUCCUACGGGAGGCAGCAGUGGGGAAUAUUGGACAAUGGGCGAAAGCCUGAUCCAGCAAUGCCGCGUGAGUGAUGAAGGCCUUAGGGUUGUAAAGCUCUUUUACCCGGGAUGAUAAUGACAGUACCGGGAGAAUAAGCUCCGGCUAACUCCGUG
rnacentral:rRNA from 1 species